UAAGGCAUGCAAGUCGAACGCGAAAGCCCACUUCGGUGGGUGAGUAGAGUGGCAAACGGGUGAGUAACACGUGAGCAACCUACCUUCCUGAGGGGGACAACACCGAGAAAUCGGUGCUAAUACCGCGUAAUGCCGGAGGAUCACCUGGUUUUCCGGCCAAAGGCGGCCUCUCCUUGGAAGCUGCCGCAGGAAGAGGGGCUCGCGCCUGAUUAGCUAGUUGGCGGGGUAAUGGCCCACCAAGGCAACGAUCAGUAGCUGUUCUGAGAGGAUGAUCAGCCACACUGGGAUUGAGAUACGGCCCAGACUCCUACGGGAGGCAGCAGUCUAGAAGCUUCGGCAAUGGGGGAAACCCUGACCGAGCGACGCCGCGUGCACGAUGAAGGCCUUCGGGUCGUAAAGUGCUUUCGCCAGGGAAGAAGGCUUUCGUGGUAAAUAAUCACGGAAGAUUGACUGUACCUGGAUAAGAAGCCCCGGCUAAUUACGUGCCAGCAGCCGCGGUAAUACGUAAGGGGCGAGCGUUAAUCGGAUUUAUUGGGCGUAAAGCGCGUGUAGGCGGCAGGAUAAGUCUGAUGUUAAAGACCCACGGCUCAACCGGGGAGAUGCGUCGGAUACUGUCUUGCUUGAGUCCGGUAGAGGCAUGUGGAAUUCCUGGUGUAGCGGUGAAAUGCGUAGAUAUCAGGAGGAACACCGGUGGCGAAGGCGGCAUGCUGGGCCGGUACUGACGCUGAGACGCGAAAGCCAGGGGAGCGAACGGGAUUAGAUACCCCGGUAGUCCUGGCCAUAAACGUUGGGCACUAGGUGUAGGGAGUGUCGACCUCUCUGUGCCGUAGCUAACGCAUUAAGUGCCCCGCCUGGGAAGUACGGUCGCAAGACUUAAACUCAAAGGAAUUGACGGGGGCCCGCACAAGCGGUGGAGCAUGCGGUUUAAUUCGAUGCAACGCGAAGAACCUUACCCAGGCUUGACAUCACCGCAAGGAACCUGGGGGCGGCGAAAGUCGUUUCCUAUAGGUAGACAGGUGUUGCAUGGCUGUCGUCAGCUCGUGUCGUGAGAUGUUGGGUUAAGUCCCGCAACGAGCGCAACCCCUAUUCUUAGUUACCAGCGGAUAAUGCCGGGGACUCUAAGAAGACUGCCCGUGACAAACGGGAGGAAGGUGGGGAUGACGUCAAGUCAUCAUGGCCCUUAUGCCUGGGGCUACACGCGUGCUACAAUGCCUGGUACAGAGGGUUGCAAAUCCGCGGGGUGGAGCUAAUCCCAAAAAACCAGGCCCAGUUCAGAUUGGGGUCUGCAACUCGACCCCAUGAAGCCGGAAUCGCUAGUAAUCGGAGAUCAGCUACGCUCCGGUGAUACGUUCCCGGGCCUUGUACACACCGCCCGUCACAUGACCCGAGUCGAAUGCUCCCGAAGCCGGUGACCCAACCCGCAAGGGAAGGAGCUGUCGAAGGAGUGUUCG
rnacentral:rRNA from 1 species